GUCUUAUCUACGCGUUCGGGCGUGAUAUGGGCGAUAUAUUAAAAGUUAUUCCUGAAGUGUCCUCGCUGACUGACUCCUAAUACCGUUUGCCGACGAAACGCUAAAGCGGUUAAAGCUACUCAUCCAGUGACUUGCAUCAUCCCCAUUUUCGUCGAUACGCCAGGAUGAUGUCUCUCAUUCAAUACAAUUCAACGUGUACGCCACGUACGACGUACGCGCGAGCGCGUGACGCGUGACACUUUAUCACGGCUGCCAUAUUGACCCGCAUCGCCUCUCUCGGCGAGAAGUUCUCGCUCAUGAUGGACCUGAGUUGCAGGUGAUUCCCGCGAAAAUAGAAACUCGUGACAAUGGUGAAUAGUGAAUCGGAACAGUAUAUAAUAUAAUAUAAUUUUGCGAUUUUGCGAAGUGAUGCUUUACUGCUUAUAUUCAUACAUAAAAUCUAAAAUCUAGAGUGUGAUGCUCUUUUUGUUGUUUUUCUUGAAAUGAACUAUCUGUUCUCAAAGGGCAAUUUAAUUCAGGAAAAAUAACAAUUAAUAUAUAUUCUCUUUCCUGCACACAUACUACAGCCAAAAUAACUUAAAUGUUUUUUUGUAUAAGUUAUAAAUACUCUUGCAGGAGCAUCAUAGACAAUUCCUUUAACUAAAACUUUGUAUAUUUUUUUAUUGUUAAUAAAUCCCAUUUUCCUCAACCGCAAUUUAUUCAGUAAUUAAUGGGUAUAUACUUCAACGACAAAUGGUUUUGUACUAAUAUUAUUAGUAAAAAUAGAAAUUAAAAUAGCCCA